rnacentral:lncRNA from 1 species
GCAAGAAGCUAAGCACUGCUACUUGAAUAACCAAACCUAUGCCCAAAUCCCAUCUUUGUGGGGCUAUCUCCUGGUACUCUUCCUAGCAUUUUUCUCUUUGUCAGAGUCCAAUCAGGAGACAUAAAUCACUUAAAUACAAACUGGUAACAUUUAAUGCUGGAGUGCGAUGGCAUGAUCUCGGCUCACUGCAACCUCUGCCUCCCAGGUUCAAGCGUUUCUCCUGCCUCACCCUCCCAAGUAGCUGGGAUUGCAGGCAUGCACCACUGUGCCCAGGAAGCUGAGAGUGCUGAGGGCACAUCUGAAACCACUGGAGGUUGGCGACAUGGAGGUCAGCAGAACUGAAGAAUUUGGAAGUGCUCAAAUUUUUAAAUAACCAGAUCGAGGAGCUGCCAACACAGAUCAGCAGGCUUCAAAAACUCAAACACCUGAACCUUGGCCACCCUGUGUGCACUCUAUCUAAGUGACAACGGUUUUGAAAUCCUGCCACCAGAUAUUGGGAAGCUCACAAAGUUGCAGAUACUCAGCAAUAGGGAUAAAGACCUGAUCUCACUGCUUAAGGAAAUUGGGGAGCUUACCCAGCUUAAAGAGCUCCACAUUCAGAGGAACCGCCUCACUGUUCUACGCCCAGAACUAGGCAAUGAUGGGACCUCUUCUCCUGCAUUUGUUACCCAGAUAAUUUUGCCUUUGGAGAAGAGAAGAAAAUCACAUUGGUCUGCUCGGAAUGCAACAAAACAAAGUGUUAUUGACACCAAAACCUUAUUUGCACCAAUCCAAACAGCCUAUGGGACAUAUGUCUGCAAUGCUGCACACACCUGGGGCUAGCCAGCUUAGUGCCCUACGAUAUGUGCCAAUAAUCGAUAGCAUUUUUUACUACAGUAAUUAUGAGAAGCAUAGUAUUUUCUAGCAUGCUUGUGAAGAGUGGAAACAAAUAUUAAUCCCCUUCAGAGAGUAAAGGACAUUAUGAAUUGAGAAUUUCCUCCCAAUUUAUUCUCCAGAAUGAACAGAAUUAACAGUGAGUGGAUGUACGUCCAAAAUUUCUUCUGUUAUAUCUCUUAAUCCUUUUCCUGCGGACAUCGAGAAACUAAAGAAAAAUAACUUUCUUUACUGAGGCAGGCAAGAAGGAAAUCCAGUAUUCUUUGUUUGAUCAAUUAAGUCUCUGUAAGUGUCUCAUUUAUCUUCUCUUUUGUUAUUGUCACUCUGUCAACUGGUUCCCAAUUAUUUUAUCCAGAGGUUUAAAACUUUUUUAAAUGUAAACAGUAGAGAAUAGAGGUUAAGUGCUGCACUCUUCAUCACUAGGCUUGGGUUCAAACCUCACUCUCCCACUCCCUUGUUCUGUGACCUUCAGAUACUGAUAUGGUUUGAAAGGAAAGGAAAGGAAAAAACAGAUCAAAAUGUUUCAAUAAUCAUGAACGUAUAUGUAUCUGAUAAUGUACCCUUUAUUUAUGCUCAAUGAGAUUUAACAUGUUCAUCUCAGAAAGGGAUAGAUCAAGCUGCAAAAAGUUUGCAUACAUAGAAGAUCUAAAUAGCAUGACUAACAAGUUUAAAAUAUUAAUGUAGAAUCAUAAAAAUAUAAUUUUUUCAAGCACACAUAUAAUAUUUGUAAAAAUUGACCAGGUACAAAUCACAUAGUAAUUCUCAAUAAAUUUUAGAAAAAGGAAUAGCAUUGUAUAAACUGUGUUUAUUUAUCACAAUGAGGUAGAAGUAGAAAUUAUUAACAAUUAUUAACAAAAGUAGAAAUUAUCAAAAAUGUUAGCUAAUAAAAAAUUAAAAGUCCAUAUGUCCUGAAACAAAAACACAUGCCACUAAAUACAUCUUAUCUGAUUAAGAAAUUAUAAUUUUGAAAUAUUAAAACUGAACAUCAAUAAAAAGUACUUUAUGUCAGAACUUUAGGGUAAAUAUGGUCAAAUGUAAUUUAUGGGUUUUUUUUUUUAACUUCCAUAGGUUUUUGGGGAACAGGCAGUGUUUGGCCAUAUGAAUAAGUUCUUUAGUGGUGAUUUCUGAGAUUUUGGUGCACCCAUCACCCAAGCAGUAUACACUGUACCCAAUUUGUAGUCUUUUAUCUCACAUCCCCUACCCUUUCCCUCGAGUCCCCAAAGUUCACUGUAUCAUUCUUUGCCUUUGCAUCCUCAUAUAUGCAUCCUCAUAUCAUUCUUUGCCUUUGCAUCCUCAUAUAUGCAUCCUCAUAUCAUUCUUUGCCUUUGCAUCCUCAUAGCUUAGCUCCCACUUAUGAGUGAGAACAUACAAUGUUUGGUUUUUCAUUCCUG